AUCUAUCUGCAUUUGUCAUAGCUGGUCAACAUGCAGGGUCCACACCAAGGUGCUGAUGACAUUAUGGGUAUAACUAAGGAUGACUAACUUAUAUGAAUUAGCUUUGUUAAGAAUGAGAAACGAUCUGAUCUACUGUAACACAAAGGCAUAUGGACACCAUGAUAUGGAGAUCA